UUUAAAAAUUUUUGGUUCACGGCCUUCACUGGAUUACCUACUGGAGCAAACAAAGUGUAACCAUGUAAAACCUGUGAGCUUGUAUUGAUAUCUCAUGGCUAGAGUUCCAAGUUGCAGGAAUUUAGCCAAUUCAGAGAUCUUGUUCUCCAUAAUUUGGAAUUUUCCUUCGGAUUUGAUCAAGUUGGAUAGAGUUGGUCAAACCCAAUGGGAAAAAGAUGAAAACAACAAGAAACAGAAACAAACAACAACAGCAACAACAACAAAAACAAUGCAUUUAAUUAAAUGAAGAUGAGCUCAUGCUGGAGUAGGGUGGACUCUGAACCCAGUAGGACAAGCGUCCUUGUUAAGAAGAGGGAAAUCUGGACACACACAGAGCAGAGACCGCCGUGUGAAGAUGGAGGCAGAGAUCGGAGAGAUGCUGCCACAUGCCACAAAUGCCUGGGGCUCCCAGAAACUACACGGAGCCUCCCCCAGCGGCUUCAGCAGGAGCAUGGCUCGGCCAACACUUUAAUCUUGGUCUUCCAGCCUCCAGAACGUUUUCCUAAAAUUCCCUUUUCCACUGGUGUGUGGUGCAAGAUGAGGCACAUUUUCCAUGGAUGGUGAACAGAGGGAGGAGCCUUUUGAUCACAACCCGGUCACCCCACUUCUAAGCCACUGUGCCUCCAGCCCCACAAGACUAAGGAGAGAGAGCGCAGAGUGGUGGAGAGUGAGCUGUGCUGGGACCGUUGUUUCCGUAACCUCGUUUUCUGUGUCCAGCUGACACACCUUCAAAGCGGCAUCAGGUCCUACACUGUAGCUUGCAAUGUGCCUGUUUCCAGAAACCAAGGUGAAAGUGCUUUUAGACAGUGUUCCCAUGCAAGAGUCCCUUCCCAGCUUUUUUCUGGAAAUGCAUGUUUCUCUGAACUCUGAGUCCCAAGAAAAAUCAUUUGAGACAUCAAGAAAAUGGGGGAAGUGCUAAAAUUGUGUGGGAAUUCAAGCUUAACAAUAAACAUCAAGACAUUUUUGGUAAAAAUGAAUCCACUGACAUCGGGGAGGAGCAAGAGAACAGCACGCUGACACUGGGUCAGAGGCUAAGACCGACAUUUCUGGGAACCACUCCCGGAAGGGCACAGAUGAGACACUUUCAGCCUCUCGUCAGCCAGCCUGGCCUGUAGCUGCUGCACGUUAUGAGUGUGUUCCUGGCAUGACUGCUUCUAACAGUGACCAUUUCAUUAAGUUUUUAAGUGCCUGGUAAUUGCUUGGUUAUGACCGGUGUCUGCUCCAUGGCAGCCUCUUCCUGAAGAAAUGCUGAGGCAGUGUCACGCUGGUGUCUGUCCUCCUUACAGAAUGCCUGAACAGUUCCAUUGACUCAAAGUGAAGAUCAAAAGAACCAAAGGACAGCAAUAGCCAAGUGUAAUCAUCAGUAACCCUGUGUUCUAUCCACAGGUAAAAAACAAUCAUCCUCUUCAUUAUGGGUUUCAAUUUUAAAUGUAAUACAUUUUUAGAAAUGCCUAUUUCCUUUUAUAAUCUCUUUAUAUAAUCUAGGUUAUUCUGGCUCUUAGGUCUUCAUUUAGCUACUGAAAAGAUUUGAUCUCAAAUCAAUGUUCUAACCACCCAUGACCAUCUCCCACCUCUCUCCCCGUACAGCCCCCAGCAUGAAUUCUGGGAACUCAGGUAAAAUGCUUUCUGGAAACCUGCCUGUAUUAGUCUGUUGUCAAGCUGCUAAUAAACACAUACCCGAAACUGGGUAGUUUAUAAAGG
rnacentral:sRNA from 1 species